rnacentral:rRNA from 1 species
CUGGCGGCGNGUCCAAUCAUGCGAGAAGAGCGAAUCAUUAGGAGCUUGCUCCUGAUGAUUAGCGGUUUAUCGGUGAGUAACACGUGGGCAACCUGCCUGUAAGACUGGGAUAACACCGGGAAACCGGUGCUAAUACCGGAUAAUUCUUUACCUCUCAUGAGGUGAAGCUGAAAGUCGGUUUCGGCUGACACUUACAGAUGGGCCCGCGGCGCAUUAGCUAGUUGGUGAGGUAACGGCUCACCAAGGCGACGAUGCGUAGCCGACCUGAGAGGACGAUCAGCCACACUGGGACUGAGACACGGCCCAGACUCCUACGGGAGGCAGCAGUGGG